GGGGAGAGUGACUGUAGUUCUGAAUACAAUGUAACUGCUCUGUUUAUAUCAUUUAUUAGUGCUGUUUGUGAUUUCAGAGGACAGCUUAUCUUCUUCUCUUCUCAUGUUCAUUGCUGGGCUGUUUACUGGAGUAUUGAUCACUGUACUGUUCCUCUUUCUGCUUUACUGCAUAAAGUCAAAGGGUCUAUGUCGCAAAAGGUGAGUGAAAUUCAUAAGAAGCAGUAAUAUAUAAAAAUACUUUUAUUCUGGUAGUAAUAACAUAUUCAAAUUAUUUCAGACUCAAACAGUCUGAAACAAUCAACCAGGAAGAAAAUCAACAACAUGUGUACUCGGCUCUUUCCCACGGCGAUCGUUGUGUUUAUGAGACAGUUAGAGGCUCUGCAGAUGCUGGACCAGGUGGAUCACAAAUACAGUGCAUCAAAUCAGACUAGAGGAGCUGCAGUUCUGCAUGUCUGUGCAGUCUGCAUCCACUACAUCAAGCACCAUUCAUGCGAUCUAUGACUCCUGCUGUGCUGUCAAGGGGACAUCCUGGGCUCUCUAUUGAUGCCACAUUUGUGGGGGCGGGGCUAACAGAGCACAAGAUGAUUGAAAUUGCAGACAUUUUUCCUCUUCAAAAUCAAAACUUGAUGACACCGUCCGUAAUAAGAAUUGUUUAAUGCAGGGCUCUGAAGUGUUUUGUCAUUAUGAUAUCUAGAAGGGGAAAUAAGAACAUUUUCAGUUGACUACACACACACACACA
ensembl:lncRNA